rnacentral:rRNA from 1 species
GACGAACCGUGCGAACGUUGUUCGGAAUCACUGGGCGUAAAGGGCGUGUAGGCGGUCAAGUAAGUGGAAUGUGAAACGCCUCGGCUUACCCGAGGACCUGCAUCCCAAACUGCUUGGCUUGAGUAUGGGAGAGGAUGAGGGAAUUCCUGGUGUAGCGGUGAAAUGCGUAGAUAUCAGGAGGAACACCGGUGGCGAAAGCGCUCAUCUGGCCCAAUACUGACGCUGAGGCGCGAAAGCUAGGGGAGCAAACGGG